rnacentral:tRNA from 1 species
GGGGUUGUGGCUCAAUGGUAGAGUGCUUGCCUAGCAUGUGUGAGGCACUGGGUUCGAUUCUCAGCACCACGA